rnacentral:lncRNA from 1 species
UGGCCUUCAGCUGAAGCUUUCUGACAUUCACUGUGUACUCAAGGACUUUCUCCAGGGUGCUAACAGAUUUUCCACAUUUGCCACUCAUAAGGCUUUUAUCGACUAUGAAUUCUCUGAUGUUUAAUAAGGCUGGAGUUAUGGCUAAAGGAUUUCCCACAUUCCGUGCACUCAUAAGGCUUCUCCCCAGUGUGAACCCUCCUGUGCUUAAUGAGGCCGGAAUUUUGAGUAAAGGAUUUCCCACAUUCACUGCACUCAUAGGGUCUUGAUCCAGUGUGAACUCUCUGGUGUUUUCGGAGACUGGAGCUGUAGGGAAAGAACUUCCCACAUUCACUGCACUCAUAAGGCCUCUCCCCAGUGUGAACUCCCCGAUGUUGAAGGAGUGCAGACCUUUGGCUAAAGGAUUUCCCACAUUCACUGCACUCAUAAGGCCUCUCCCCAGUGUGAACUCCCCGAUGUUGAAGGAGUGCAGACCUUUGGCUAAAGGAUUUCCCACAUUCACUGCACUCAUAUGGCCUUUCCCCAGUGUGAACUCUCCGAUGUUUAAUGAGGUUAGACUUGUUGCUAAAUAAUUUUCCACAUUCAUCACAUUCAUGAGGUCGUACUGCAGUGUGAACUCUCCGGUGCUGAAUGAGACUAGAGCUUUGCCUAAAGGACUUCCCACACUCUCGACAUUCAUAAGGCUUUUCUCCAGUGUGAAGUCUCCAAUGGUCAUUGAGACUGUAGCUUUUGCUAAAGGAUUUCCCACAUUCACUGCAUAUGUAACAUCUUUCUGUAGUGAGGGUUCUCUGCUGCUGAACAAGUGUGUGUUUACCGCUGAAUGCUUUUGUGUGUUCUCCACAGUUGUAAUGAGUUUUUCCUCUGUGACUGAUGGCCCCACCGUCGCUUUUGCUAUUUGAUUGCUCCCCAGUGUGAGCAGCCUGUUGAUGGAGAAAUCCCAACUUGGCCAGGAAGUCCUUCCCAACUUCUCUGCAGGUGGAAGGCUCCCCUGACACAUGGAAUGUGCAGGUCUUCACAAACAAGGCUCUGCCCACAUUGCUUCUGAAAUGUUUUUCUCCAAGGUGCUGCUUCUGAUGAUGAACAUCUGC